UACGGAGGGUGCAAGCGUUACUCGGAAUCACUGGGCGUAAAGAGCGUGUAGGCGGGUAGUUAAGUCAGAAGUGAAAUCCAAUAGCUCAACUAUUGAACUGCUUUUGAAACUGAUUACCUAGAAUAUGGGAGAGGUAGAUGGAAUUUCUGGUGUAGGGGUAAAAUCCGUAGAGAUCAGAAGGAAUACCGAUUGCGAAGGCGAUCUACUGGAACAUUAUUGACGCUGAGACGCGAAAGCGUGGGGAGCAAACAGGAUUAGAUACCCUGGUAGUCCACGCCCUAAACGAUGUACACUAGUUGUUGUGAGGCUCGACCUUGCAGUAAUGCAGCUAACGCUUUAAGUGUACCGCCUGGGGAGUACGGUCGCAAGAUUAAAACUCAAAGGAAUAGACGGGGACCCGCACAAGCGGUGGAGCAUGUGGUUUAAUUCGACGAUACACGAAGAACCUUACCUGGACUUGACAUAGUAAGAACUUUCUAGAGAUAGAUUGGUGUCUGCUUGCAGAAACUUAUAUACAGGUGCUGCACGGCUGUCGUCAGCUCGUGUCGUGAGAUGUUGGGUUAAGUCCCGCAACGAGCGCAACCCUCGUCAUUAGUUGCUAACAGUUCGGCUGAGAACUCUAAUGAGACUGCCUACGCAAGUAGGAGGAAGGUGAGGACGACGUCAAGUCAUCAUGGCCCUUACGUCCAGGGCUACACACGUGCUACAAUGGGGUAUACAAAGAGCAGCAAUACGGUGACGUGGAGCAAAUCUCAAAAAUAUCUCCCAGUUCGGAUUGUAGUCUGCAACUCGACUACAUGAAGUUGGAAUCGCUAGUAAUCGUAGAUCAGCUAUGCUACG
rnacentral:rRNA from 1 species